rfam:TPA: Bos taurus chromosome X, whole genome shotgun sequence.
UCCCUGGUGGCUCAGAUGGUAAAGUAUCUGCCUUCAAUGUGGGAGACCCAGGUUCAAUCCCUGGGUCGGGAA